rnacentral:rRNA from 1 species
GACGAACGCUGGCGGCGUGCUUAACACAUGCAAGUCGAACGAAGUGGCGAACGGGUGAGUAACGCGUAAUCAACCUGCCCUUCAGUGGGGGACAACAGUUGGAAACGACUGCUAAUACCGCAUACUGAAGGAGGGGAUUGCGUCUGAUUAGCUAGUUGGGGGGGUAAGGGCCCACCAAGGCGAUGAUCAGUAGCCGGGCUGGGAGGGUGAACGGCCACAUUGGCACUGGGACACGGCCCAGACGGCUACGGGAGGCAGGAGUGGGGGAUGUGCCGGAAUGGGCGAAAGGCUGGCGGGGCAACGCCGCAGGAGUGGUGACGGGCUUCGGGUUGUAAAGGUCGUUUAAUCGGGACGCGGUACCGGAAUAGGAAGCCACGGCUAACUACGUGCCAGCAGCCGCGGUAAAUC